GUGGAAGUGGGGUAUGCAAGAACGUAUCAUUCUUGUUGCUUUUACCUGCUGCUUAAUAACACGCAUGUACUGUCUAGCAGGAAAUAAAGAGAUUACGUUUCACCUAGAAUACUCAUUCUCUGAGCCUAAGUGGCUCUUCUAUUCCAGCCCCCAAAUAUCUGUAUCAGCACAUCAUAUAAGAUUACAAAGCACAGAGUAAUGACAUUGUUAGAAACUCUUCACAGUAGCCCCAGGAGUCACGAAACUGACUUAACUAAGACCCACUGUCUAGUAAGGUGUAAAACCCAGCAGGAACGCAAUACUAGGAAGGUGCAAAGCCAGGAGGCUCAAUAAACGUUAAACAGUGUCUGGGGGAAAGAGCAACGAUCCAGAGCACUGUUUGUGAACUCAACCACUUUUAUUCAGCUCUGACAAGGCGCCAUGGGCUAACUUGCUGGAGAGCCACAUGGAGAGACUGUAUGGAAAAACCACAGGGAGAGGGAGAAGCCUUGAGAUCACAUGGAAGAGAACUGAGGAAUUGAGCUGACAAUGAGAAUUGAGGUCCCAGCCUAUGGUCCCAGUUGUGUGUUCCAGCCAGCAUCCAGUUGUUUGAACUGCCUCUAUACUAGUAAACAAGUAAUUAAUUAAUACAAGUAAAUGAAAACAAGUAAUAAAGUAAUUAAUACAAGUAUUAAGUGAGUGAAAAAAAACAUUUACCCACAGAAUUGUGAGCAAAUAAAGUGGUGUUGUUUUAAGCCUCUGAUACUUGGGAUCUAUUUCUACAUGAUGACAGAUAACUGAAAUGUUAAUGAAAUCUUGUCCCUCAUACUAAAUUACAUACCAUUCUUAUGCUUUAAUUCCAGUUUCUCCCAUGCUUGCCAAUAUUCCAUGCUGUAGUCUUUUUAUGGUUCUAUAUUCCCUUUAAACAUCUCAAAAUUAAUCAUUUAAAUCAGUUUAUAGUUAAUAAUUCGUUGGAUAUACCCACAUGUUACCCAGUUUUUUUUUUGCUUAAUGUUGCUUCUUAUAUCCACAUACUCAUUUUGUGUCCUGUUUCUUGUUUUCUUAAUUAUAUUCCUUUGUUGAUUACUCAGCAACAACUGAGUGAUAAAAAAUGGUAAGCUCAGUUUUUAUUAGCUGAAAAGUCUUCAUUUUGUCCUUACAUUUAAAUCGUAGUUUAGCUUGAUAUAAAAUUUUAGAUUGGCAUUUAUUUUCUCUUAGCAAUUUGAAGAUAACAGACUAUUACCAUCCGGUUUUUGUUGUUGCUAUUGAGUCAUGUGCUGUUUGAGUCUAAAUUUCAUUUCUUCUUAAUAUAUGUGUUUUCCUCAGGUUGCUUUAACGUUUUUUCUCAUUACUCUUCUUAUUAUGCAGAUUCACCAUGAAAUAGCUAAAAUAAAUUUCCUUUUUUUUUUUUUUUUUUUGCUACUAACUCAUACUUCCACAAUCUGAAGAUUCUUUCAUCAGCUUAG
rnacentral:lncRNA from 10 species